CCGUGGCGGCGUGCCUAUACAUGCAAGUCGAACGAACUCUGGUAUUGAUUGGUGCUUGCAUCAUGAUUUACAUUUGAGUGAGUGGCGAACUGGUGAGUAACACGUGGGAAACCUGCCCAGAAGCGGGGGAUAACACCUGGAAACAGAUGCUAAUACCGCAUAACAACUUGGACCGCAUGGUCCGAGUUUGAAAGAUGGCUUCGGCUAUCACUUUUGGAUGGUCCCGCGGCGUAUUAGCUAGAUGGUGGGGUAACGGCUCACCAUGGCAAUGAUACGUAGCCGACCUGAGAGGGUAAUCGGCCACAUUGGGACUGAGACACGGCCCAAACUCCUACGGGAGGCAGCAGUAGGGAAUCUUCCACAAUGGACGAAAGUCUGAUGGAGCAACGCCGCGUGAGUGAAGAAGGGUUUCGGCUCGUAAAACUCUGUUGUUAAAGAAGAACAUAUCUGAGAGUAACUGUUCAGGUAUUGACGGUAUUUAACCAGAAAGCCACGGCUAACUACGUGCCAGCAGCCGCGGUAAUACGUAGGUGGCAAGCGUUGUCCGGAUUUAUUGGGCGUAAAGCGAGCGCAGGUGGUUUUUUAAGUCUGAUGUGAAAGCCUUCGGCUCAACCGAAGAAGUGCAUCGGAAACUGGGAAACUUGAGUGCAGAAGAGGACAGUGGAACUCCAUGUGUAGCGGUGAAAUGCGUAGAUAUAUGGAAGAACACCAGUGGCGAAGGCGGCUGUCUGGUCUGUAACUGACGCUGAGGCUCGAAAGUAUGGGUAGCAAACAGGAUUA
rnacentral:rRNA from 2 species